rnacentral:rRNA from 1 species
AACGAACGCUGGCGGCAUGCCUACACAUGCAAGUCGAACGAGACCUUCGGGUCUAGUGGCGCACGGGUGCGUAACGCGUGGGAACCUGCCCUUAGGUUCGGAAUAACUCCCCGAAAGGGGUGCUAAUACCGGAUAAUGUCUUCGGACCAAAGAUUUAUCGCCUUUGGAUGGGCCCGCGUUGGAUUAGCUAGUUGGUAGGGUAAAAGCCUACCAAGGCGACGAUCCAUAGCUGGUCUGAGAGGAUGAUCAGCCACACUGGGACUGAGACACGGCCCAGACUCCUACGGGAGGCAGCAGUGGGGAAUAUUGGACAAUGGGCGAAAGCCUGAUCCAGCAAUGCCGCGUGAGUGAUGAAGGCCUUAGGGUUGUAAAGCUCUUUUACCCGGGAUGAUAAUGACAGUACCGGGAGAAUAAGCUCCGGCUAACUCCGU